rnacentral:rRNA from 1 species
GCGAGCGUUGUCCGGAUUUAUUGGGCCUAAAGCGUUCGUAGCCGGCUUGAUAAGUCUCUGGUGAAAUCCCAUAGCUUAACUGUGGGAAUUGCUGGAGAUACUAUUAGGCUUGAGGCCGGGAGAGGUUAGGGGUACUCCCAGGGUAGGGGUGAAAUCCUAUAAUCCUGGGAGGACCACCUGUGGCGAAGGCGCCUAACUGGAACGGACCUGACGGUGAGUAACGAAAGCCAGGGGCGC